AUGCUUCCUUCAGCAGCAUAUAUACUAAAAUCAGAAUGAUACAGAGAAGAUUAGCAUGGUCCCUGUGCAAGGAUGACAUGCAAAUUCGUGAAGCAUUCCUUAUUUUA